rfam:Mus musculus chromosome 3, GRC primary reference assembly.
GUUUCUGUAGUGUAGUGGUUUCACAUUUGCCUCACAUGCAAAAGGUCCCCGGUUCUCAACCGGGCAGAAACA